UACGGGGGGGGCAAGCGUUGUUCGGAAUUACUGGGCGUAAAGGGCGCGUAGGCGGGUCGAUAAGUCAGCUGUGAAAACCAUGGGCUUAACUCAUGGCCUGCAGUUGAGACUGUCGGGCUGGAGUGUGGGAGAGGAGAGUGGAAUUCCUGGUGUAGCGGUGAAAUGCGUAGAUAUCAGGAGGAACACCGGUGGCGAAGGCGGCUCUCUGGACCACAACUGACGCUGAGGCGCGAAAGCUAGGGGAGCAAACAGG
rnacentral:rRNA from 1 species